rnacentral:lncRNA from 1 species
UCAGUAUUAGAUGACUGUGUAUUUCAGAAACAUCAGCCCCUUUCCCAUCUGGUGAUGAAUCUUGAUUCAUCUAGACCAUUCACGGUAUUCUACCUGCCCUUACCAGGCUAUAAGAGACAUGUGAAGCAACCCAGAGAGGGAAUCUGCUAGGAGACUUCUGCAAGAGUCUUCAUCACAUCGUGUUUGAUGGAACAUGAGGAAAACAUAGGCCUCUUCACCUCUUCACAUCUUGGAACCUGAGGAGCCAGUGCAGGUAUGUUUAGAACAUGAGAGGGUGAGCCUCAGAGCAGGCAGAAAUGGCAAAACAGAAGAGUAGAAAAUAUGUGGGUCCUGCCUUACAUCAUUGAGCCAUUGAUUAAUCAAUGCAAGAGCUUCCUUUCUUCUAACAUGAUAAUGAGAGUUAAUACAAAUUUCUACAUUGAAACUAUUCAUUUGCAUUUUCUGUUACAUACACCAAAAGCAUAUCUGCUGGUACAAUGACCAAAAGCAAGAGAAACAAAAGAAAAAUACUCCACACUCAUCCUGGUAGAACGAGCUAAGAAUGUAUACCUUAGAAACAGUUAAGGUUCCCAAAAAGGCCAAUUAGCUUUGACUUGAGUUAUAUAAAUAUCACUCUCCACAAUUUGCCAUUUUCACUAUGAUUCAUUUGCCUAAGGUUAAACUUUAUCCAGUCAUUUCCCCUAAGGUUUUUUUUUUUUAUACUUAUGACCCCUUUCUUGGCAGCUGAAUUUACUCUGGAACAAAAGUCGACAAACUUUUUAUAAAGGGCUAGAUGAUAAAUAUUUCAUGCUUUGCAAGCCAUACAAUCUCUAUCACAACUACUUUAUUCUCUCACUGCAACACAAAAGUAGCCAUCAAUAAUACAUCAAUGAAUGAGUGUGGCCAUUCUCCAAACUUCAUUUAUGAAUACUGGAAUUUGAACUUCCUAUUAUUUUCAGAUAUCACCAAAAUAUUCCUUUUAUUGCUUUCAACCAUUCACAAAUGUAAAAACCACACAAAUGAAUACACAUAAAAUCAGAGUAAAUCUGGAUAAGAUUUGAUGUUAGCAUAUUGUGUUGUAUAGUUUUGUAAGAUGUUACCUACCAUUGGAGAAAAUAGUAAAAAAAUACAUGGGGUCUCUCUAUAUUCUUUUUUUAAAUAGUGGUAAAGUAUACAUAGAAUUUGUGAUUUUAACCAUUUUUAAGUUUAUAAUUCAGUGGCAUUAAGUUACAUUUACUUUUACAUCCAUCUCUAGAACUUUUUCAUUCUUUCAAAAUGAAAUUCUGUACCUACUAAAAAAUAACUCCUCAUCACUCCAUUCCUAAACCCUUUUUAGUCUCUGUGAAAUUGACUCUCCUAGGUGCCUCAUGUAAGUAGAAUCAUACAAUAUUUGUCCUUUUGUUUCUGGUGUGUUUUUUUUCACUUAGCAUGAAAGUUCAUCCAGGCUAUAACAUGUAUCAGGAUUUUAUUCCUUUGUUUAAAUUUUUUUAAUUUAUUUAUUUAUUUAUCUUAAUUAGGUAUGUAUGACAGAAUGCAUUUUGAUUCAUUGUACACAAUUGCUGCAGAACUUUUCAUUUUUCUGGUUGUACAUGAUGUAGCAUCACACCAUAUGUGCAGUCAUACAUGUACCUAGGGUAAUGAUGUCCAUCUCAUUCCACCAUCUUUCCUGCCCUUAUGCCCCAUCCCCACUCCACCCUCCCCUUUGCCCAAUCAAAGUUCUUCCAUUUUCUCCAUGCCACCCCCUCCCCCAUUAUGGUUCAACAUCCACUUAUCAGAGAGAGCAUUCGGCCUUUGGUUAUUGGGGAUUGGGUUACUUUGCUUAGCAUGAUAUUCUCCAACACCAUCCAUUUACCUGCAAAUGCCAUAAAUUUAUUCUCUUUUAAUGAUGAGUAAUAUCCCAUUGGAUAAAAAUAACCAUAGUUUCUUUAUCCAUUCAUCUAUUGAAGGACACCUAGGUUGGUUCCACAAUUUAGCUAAUGUGAAUUGAGCUGCUAUAAACAUUGAUGUGGCUGCAUUACUAUAGUAAGCUGAUUUUAAGUCCUUUCGGUAUAGACUGAGGAGUGGGAUAGCUGGGUCAAAUGGCGGUUCCAUUCCAAGUUUUCUAAGGAAUCUCCAUACUGCUUUCCAGAUUGGUUGCACCAGUUUGCAGUCCUACUAGCAAUGUAUGAGUGUGCCUUCUCCCCCGCAUCCUCGCUAACACUUAUUGUUGUCUAUAUUCUUGAUGAUUGCCAUUCUGACUGGUGUGAGAUGAAGGAUUUUAUUCCUUUUAAAAAGCUGAAUGAUGGGAUUGGAGUUGUGGCUCAAUAGUAAAGCGCUUGCCUCUAACAUGUGAGCCACAGCACCACAUAAAAAUAAAUAAAUAAAGAUAUUGUGUUCAUCUACAACUAAAAAAUAUUUUUUAAAAAAGCUGAAUGAUGUCCCAUUAUAUGCACAGACCAUAUUUUGUUUAGUUAUUCUUCUAGGGCUGAGCUUUGAGUUGUUUCCACCAUUUGGCUGCUAUGAAUAUGCUGUUCUGAACAUUGGUAUACAAAUAUCACUAAGUCCCUGUUUUCAGUUCUUUUAGCUAUAUACCAAUAAGUAGAAUUGCUGAAUACUAUGGUAAUUAUUGCUGAAUAAUAUGGUAAUUCUAUGCUUCAUUUUUUGAGGAAAUACAGUACUGUUUUCCAGAAUGGCUGCACCAUUUUACAUUCCCACCAGCAGUGCACAUGGAUUCCAACUUCUCUACAUCCUUACUAAUACUUUAUUUUUUUGUCUUUUUGGUAUAGUCAUUCUAAUAAAUGUGGAAGUGGUAUUUUAUUGUGCUUUUGAUUUACAUGAUUAUUUAUGUUGAAUUUUUCUUCAUGUGCUUAUUGAUCAUCAAUAUUUCUUUAGAGAAAUGUCUAUUCAAAUCAUUUAUGCAUAUUUAAAUAAUUUUGUUUCUAUUUGUUUAUAAGAAUUCUUUAUAUUUCUGGACAUCAAUCUUAUCAGAUUUACAAAUAUUUUCUCCCAUUCUGUGAAUUAUCUUUUUAUUCUUUUGAUACAUAAAUAUUGUCUUCUUCUUCUUCUUGCUCUUUCUUCUUCUUUGGAUCAAAAUCAGAGUCUCAUGCAUGCUGGGCAAGCUCUCUAACACUGAGCCACAUUCCCCAGCCUACUGAUACACAAAUAUUUUUCAUAUGUUUGAUGAACUGCAUAUUUUUAUAUGCUUGAAAAAGAGCAUAUUUUUAUGUUUGUUCAGGACAGCAUAUUCACAAUAGCCAAAAGGUAGAAACAACUCAAUGCUCAUCAAUGGAUAAACAAAAUAUGGUAAGUGCAUGCAAUGGAAUAUUAUUUGGUCUUUAAAAAGGAAUGAAAGCCUGAUACAUAUUCCAGCCUGAAUGAACCUUAAAUACAUUAUGAUAAGUGAAAAAAAUGAAACGAAAGGUAAAAUAUUGUACAAUUCACUCAUAUGAGGUACCUAGAAGAGUGAAAUUCACAGAGACUAAAAUUGACUGAGAUAAUUUUGAUGAAGGAUCCUUUAUCUAUUUUUCCAUUUCUUAUCACCAUGUGUGCAUCUAUAACUAUCUCAAAUUUUAAUCAAACAAAAUACAAGAACUAUUAUUUGCUCAUGAUCAUAUGAAAAAACAAGUACCACUUGGCUCACAAAGACAUAGUCUGCCAAUGCCUGCUAUGGAAUAGAAAAUGGAGUUAUUUCAACUGUUUUCUUAUAUUCAAAAAGCUCUAUACAAUGUCUCAUCAGCUUCUAACCCACUACCUGGGGCUCAAAAUUUUAAAAUAGUUCGGUAUAUAUAUAUAUAUAUAUAUAUAUAUAUAUAUAUAUAUAUAUGCAUAUGGUUUCAUCUUACUUGUUCCUAAGAUCAAGGGACUUACCAAAAAGUAGCUGUUCCACAUUUGAUUUUAAAAAACCAACAUCCCAUGUUUUUAAGUGCCCCUUGAGAACUUUGCUCUUAACAUGUUUUCAUGCUCUCUAUUGCACUGCAAAUAGCAUUUCAAAAUGGGCCCUUUAAAGUCAUCCACCCUCCCUCCUCUCCUGGGAAUCCUUCUUCCACGUCCUUACACAGACUGUCUGCAGCUUGGCCUCCCACAGCUUCCAGAGGCAGCCACUUCCAGAGCUUAUGGGCUCUAAUGGAUAGCAAGUCCUGAUAUCACUGCAAUUCAAGAACAGUUUUCAAUUCCUUUUUAAAAUUGAGUACAGAGGCUUGCUUACAAAAGGUGCUACGUUAGAUCACAUUCUCCAAAGUUGGUAUGUUGGAUACUUACUCACCAAAUUCACGUGUUAAUGGUGUUUGGCAGCAGGGCCUUUGGGAGGUAUUAGGUUUAGAUGAAGUCAUGAGGGUGGAGUCCCCUGAAAGCAUUAGUGGCUUUAUAAGAAGAGGAAAAGAGACAAGAGCUAGCACACUUACUCUGUUCGGCCUCUGCCAUGUUAUAAUGCAGCAAGAAGACCCUCACCAAAUGCCAGCACCAUGCUUUUGGAUUUCCCAGCCUCCAGAACCAUGAGGUAAAAAAAAAUAUCUAUUCUUCACAAACUACCCAGUCUGUGGUAUUCCGUUAUAUAGUAACAGCAAACAGACUAGGACAGAGGAUUUCAUGAUAAUAAUGUUCUAGUUCUAGAACAAAGAGAUGGCUUCACAUAUCUCCUAUUAUGUUUUAUAAUUUACUUUAAUGCUACAUAAAUUCUUUUUAAAAUAUCAAGCAUUUUAUGAUAAACAUAUUUUAAAAGAAGUAAUUAUUUGUGUCUCUUAUAAAUGUUACUAUAUAAAAGGUGCCAGUGCAAAUCUUCUCAGGGAAAUUCAAAGAGAACAUCUCCAAGGUUAUAACCCCAACCCAAGCUCCGUCAUGAAUUCUCCCAGACAAUUCAACAACCAUCCCACAGUCCCAUAAUUGCCUCCUUCCAGUCCAUUCCCCAUACUGUGAACAGACUGAUCUGCUUAAAAGGCACAAUGUUUAUGCUUCCCUUUUGCUUAAAAUAUUUUAAUAGUCUCUCAUCAUUCUCAGAAUAAAAGCCAAAAUUCUCACAACAACCCACGAAGCCCCACACUAGCCACAUCUCCAGCUUUGUCUUGUUGUCUCCUCUUUAUCCUCCAUGCAAGAGUGCAAGUGCUCCCUCUUCCAGAAUGCUCUGUGUCUACCCCACACACAACUCCUGGCCAAGAGCUGUGUUUUCACUUCUCUGGGGUAAAUAGGUAGGAGUGAGAUUAUUACAUAUAUGUUUAACUUUAUAAGAAACUGCCAAGUUGUUUUUUCCCAAAUGCCCCAUUUUGCAUUUCCCUCAGUAAUAUACAAAAGUUCUAGUGUUACAGUCCUUGCUAGCACGUGGCAUUGGUAGCUUUGUUAUAUGCUAUAUGUUUAACGAAGCGAAGAGUAGUAUCUGAUUAUGAGGUUCUGCUAAGAUGCAUAGAGGAUGAGUUAACUCCUUUGAUCUCGUUUCAGUGAGAGUUCUCUGGUCUGUUAUCUCCCCCUCACCCUCCAGCCUUCAUGGUAAUAACCUUUAGCCAAGCUGCCAUGAAAACACAGGGGGAUUUAACAUGCUUAACCACAGAGAUUGUUUUUCAGACUGAAUUGAUAAAAGUACAGCAGCUUCAAAGUCUUACCUUACCGUCUCUACCGAGCACAGUCUUACUUACCCCUGACCAUGACUUCUUUGUAGGAAUCAAAGUGGUGAGUGUGAAGGUUACAUGUAUGGAAAUGUCACAAAGGGCAUAGUCACAGAGGGUGAGAGACUUCCGGGAACGGAAAUACUUCUGAAAGUUGGUUAACAUAUUUUCCAGAUCAACUGGUAGUUUAACUCUGCAGAAGACUACCGAUAAACUCUUUUUUUUUUUCCAUUAACCCAUCACUACCUGUUGGUAGGCACUGGGAGCCACAGGUACCUUUAACAGUUGUACUUUGGGAUAUUGAGUGUGAGGGUGUUAAUGUUAUACCCCUUAAAAGGUUGACAUGCAAAUUGCUAGGAGGGCUUUGCAAUUUGCUUUUGAUUUCAUCAGAAUACUCCAGUGAGAAUGUUUUUGACUAAUAGAGUAAAAGAAGGCUGGCUCUGGAGCUAGCCUUUGCUAAGGUAGCAUUAAUGAGUCAACAGAAGCUAUAAAUAGGACUUGGCAUGAACUUCUGUCCACAAUUACACCACUAUUCCCACAAAGAGAGAUGUUACUAAUGAAAAACACAGCCUGCUAGCCACUACUAAAACCAAAGGCUAUACAAACAGCCCUGAAGUCUGAUUUACCAAGAUGUCAUUGUGUGUUUCUUGGUGACCCUUAUGGGUUGUGAAGCAGUUGUAUUGUUUUCCUUAAGGAUCAUCAAUGGGUGUACCAGCUGCUUGUCAAAUUCUCUCCUGGUGAUAAAUCCCAGACAAAAAUUCCUUGACUCGGUCAUUUAUCUUUUUAACUUUAACUUUGUUUCUUUCCUUCUCCUUCCCAGCACAUAGUACAUAUAUCAGAUAGUACAGUGCAAGUGCACACAGGAGAGUUCCAUAAUUAUUCUUGGAAUGGAUGAACAGAUGGACAAAUGUGAAUGUUAACUCUAUACUUCUGCAUUAUACCUGGAAUUUUGAAAAAAAAAAAAAUAUAUAUAUAUAUAUCCAUAUAUUCUAGUAAAUUCCUCAUAUAAUAUGUAUUGAAAUGGUUCCUUUUUCAAAAAAUAUCUCUACCAACCACUCUACCAUUUUUCUUUACACCCUUCCCUGAGAAAAUAAAACGUUAUCUGGAAGCAGUGAAAGGGCAGCAUGUUAAGACCCCACCAUUCACCACAGCCAAGGUCCAGUUUUCCACUACCUCUGAAAGACAGGAGACAGGAGAAGUAGGGUUUAGAAAAGAGAAGUGUUCAGAAAUGGUGGAGUACAUGAAGUUCUACUAGUGUAGACAACCAGAGCCCUUCACUCUGGGGGUCUCUAAAGGCACCAGAUUCUAAAGAAAGAGGUCCAGAAAAGGAAACAGAGGUAGCAAAUUAUCUUUGUUGCAAGUUUGUCUGGUUGUCUUGUGGGCCCAUGGCCAAGUUCUUGUAUAUGCCCUAACCCUGAGUCAGAGAAAGCAAGGAAAGUUGGGAAGAUGAGUUGUGCAUAGCAAACUGCAGUAUUUCCUCUUGCUCGUGUUCUGAUGCAAUCUAAGUAGACAGUGGACAUUCACUUUUCCUUCCCCACAUCAGAUAUCAUAAACAAUAGCCUUCCUCCAAGGCCACCCUCCAUCUCUGCUGUAAAGUACAAUCCUUUUGCAAUGUGUAGACUAAUCUAUCUGAAGAGACUCUGUUCUAGGGAUCGAAGAAAAAGAAGAGAUUCCAUUGGUAUGCAAGACCAGUAUCCUCUGAAACUAGUAAUAAGAAGUCCAAACAAUGUCUUCUUCAGAUUCUAAGACUCAGUUCUGUUGAGACGUGCAGGACUUGAGAUGUUGCCUGCUUUUCAAAAGGGCUCCCCACCCCCCACUGCUAUAGUUGUGUAAGAAAAUGCAGAGAAACAGAGCUCAACUCUGAGCUUCAACUUCCAGCCCCCUUCUCCCUUUAGCUCAUUCUCUCAUCCUCAAAGUUGCAAAGAGCACAUAGAUUCCAGAAAAAGAACGUAUUCAUGUAUAACGAUUCUCAGAUUGGGCAAGUGGCUAAAGUUUGAAGUGAUUCAGAAAAGACAAAAUCAGAAGAUAUAAGAAUAUAAACCAUCAAGGGUGGCAAAGCAUGAAGGAAUAUUAGAAUGACGAAUGGAUUUCCAUAGACCCAGGGAAUACUCUCUCUAUUUCUCUGCUUCAGUCUUUAAAGAUAAAGGAAAUAGUUCAGAACUAAGAUCUCACAUGUUACUGUCCUAUGCUCUUUUUACCUUACUGGUCUACCUCAUAAGGACAUCUGACUAGUUUUACUCAUCUCUGAAGACCUGUCCAUGCUCUGACAUAGUUAAGGUUAUGAAUAUAAGGUCUUCCCAGUAUAUCUUGAGCCAGUUAAUGAAGUUUAAUCUAUUUGAAUGCUGCAAUAAGUAGUUUCAUCUUAGGCAUGGUGGUACACACCUGUAGUCCCAGCUAUUGGGAGGCUUAAUACAUAAGUAUCACUUGAGUGUGUGAGUUCAAGACCAGCCUAGGCAACAUAGUGAGACUCAUUUUCUAAAAAAAGUUGAUUUACAUUGAUAAAUUGUAAAAAUAUGGUUACAUGGUUUACUUAAGGUUUGGAUAUUAGAUUAUGAGCUGUCCUCUAGAAACUAUGUUGAUGCAGGAAUGUUUGGAGAUAAAAUGAUUGGAUUAUGAGAGCUGUAAUCUAAUCAGUCCAUCCUACUUUGCAUGUACUGACUAAUAAGUGUAGACAGAUGGGGCAUGGCUGGAGGAGGUAGGUCACUUUGGGCAUGCCUUAGAAGAGUUCAUCUUCCCAAUGGUCCUUCACCCUCUCCCCUCUGCUUCCUGAUUCUGUCAGGAGCUGAGCAGCUGUCUUCCGCUGGACCCUUCUGCCAGGAUGUACUGUUUCAUCUUGGGCCAGGAGCAAUGGAGUGGACCACAUACAGACUGAGAGUUCUAAAACCAUGAGCCCCAAAUAAACUUUUCCUUUGCUAAGUUGUUCUAGUCAGGUAUUUUGGCCACAGAAACAAAAAGCUGACUAACACAAAUAUGAACUGAUAUCCAGUGGAUCCUGGACAUCCAAAAGGAUUCUUAAGAUUGUCUCUACAGACUCUAUGGUUAGUCUGUACUGGAUGAUCUUAUGGUGACUUUAGAACUUUCUUAAGAAAUGAAUUAUACUUCAUCUUUUCAUCAGAUUAAUCUUAAUCAGAUUAAUAUAGAAUUCAUUUCCUUGAUGAGGAUAGAUGUAAAACAUCACACUUAACAACCGAUUUUUAAGAUUAACCAAAAAAACAAUUUUGUGGUAAGUCUGACAAUCAUAACUAGUGUAGGUCAUAUUGGUUAUUUUCAUAAAAUUAGAUGCCUAGUUUAUAGAAACAAAACAAGAGGCUAACUUGGCCAUGAUCCAAAGUGAAUCAUGAGCAUAUUUUUUAAAUUCUUUUAUUUAUUUUAAGUAGUUAUACAUGACAGUAGAAUGAUAUAUGCACUUUUAUAUAUCAUGAAAUCUUUGAAUACUUUUGAUUUGCAUUUCUCUAAUUGCUAGAGAUGUUGAACACUUUUUCAUAUAUUUGUUGAUCAAUUGUAUUUCUUCUUCAGUGAAGUGUCUGUUCAGUUCCUUAGCCCAUUUAUUGAUUAGGUUAUUUGGGGUAUUUUGUUUUGUUCUUUUUUGGUGUUAAGUUUUUUGAGUUCUUUAUAUAUCCUAGAGAUUAAUGCUUUCUCGGAGAUGUGUGUGGUAAAGAUUUUCUCUUAAUCUGUAGGCUCUCUCCUCAUGUUAUUAAUUGUUUCCUUUACUGAGAAUAAGCUUUUUAAUUUGAAUCCAUCCUAUUUAUUGAUUCUUGAUUUUAGUUCUUGCGCUUUAGAAGUCUUGUUAAGGAAGUCAGAUGCUAGGCCGACGUUGUGUGGAUUUGGGCCUAUUUUUUCUUCUAUUAGGUGGAAGGGUCUCUGUUCUGGUGCCUAAGUCUUUGCACCACUUUGAGUUGAUUUUUGUGCAGGGUGAGAGAUAAAGGUUUAAUUUCAUUUUUUUACAUAUGGAUUUCCAGUUUUUCCAGCACCAUUUGUUGCAUAGGCUAUCUUUUCUCCAGUGAAUGUUUUUGGCACCCUUAUCUAGUAUGAGAUAACCUUAUUUAUUUGGGUUUGUCUCUGUGUCCUUUAUUCUGUACCAUUGGUCUACAAGUCUAUUUUGGUGCCAAUACCAUGCCAUUUUUGUUACUAUAGCUCUGUAGUAUUAAGGUUAAGAUCUAGUAUUGUGAUGCCUCUUUCUUCACUUUUCUUGCUAGGGAUUGAUUUAGCUAUUCUGACUCUCUUAUUUUUCCAAAUAAAUUUCAUGAUUGCUUUUUUCUAUUUCUAUGAAGAAUAUCAUUGGGAUUCUAAUAGGAAUUGCAUUAAAUAUGUAUAAUGCUUUUGGAAGUAUGGCCAUAUUGAUGCAAAAAUUCUCAAUAAAAUUCUGGCAAAUUGCAUACAAAACCAUAUUUUUUUAAAAAAAGAGUGCACCAUGAUCAAGUUGGAUUCAUCCCAGGGAUGCAGGGUUGGUUCAACAUAUGGAAAUCAACACACGUAAUUCAUCAUAUAAUAGACUUACUUAAAAACAAGAAUCAUAUGAUCAUCUCAAUAGGUUUAGAAAAAGCAUUUGACAAAAUACAGCACACCUGCAUGUUCCAAACACUAGAAAAAUUACGGAUAGUAGGAACAUACCUCAACAUUGUAAAAGCUAUCUAUGCUAAAUCCAAGGCCAGCAUCAUUCUAAAUGGAGAAAAAUUGAAAGCAUUCCCACUAAAAACUGGAACAAGACAAGGAUGUCCUCUUUCAUCACUUCUAUUCAACAUCAUCCUUGAAACUCUAGCCAGAGCAACUAGACAAAAGAAAGAAAUUAAAGGGAUACAAAUAGGUAAAGAAGAACUCAAACUAUCAAACUUGCUGAUGACAUGAUUCUAUAUCAAGAAGAUCCAAAAAAUUCCACCAGAAAAUUUCUAGAACUAGUAAAUGAAUUCAGCAAAGUAGCAGGAUAUAAAAUCAACACCCAUAAAUCAACCGUAUUCCUAUACAUCAGCCAUGAAUCCACUGAAAGAGAAAUUAGGAAAACUACACUAUUCACAAUAGCCUCAAAAAAAAAAAAAUACCUGGGAAUCAAUCUAACAAAAGAGGUGAAAGAGCUCUACAAUGAAGACUAUAAAACACUAAAGAAAGAAAUUGAAGAAAAAUUCAGAAGAUGGAAAGAUCUCCCAUGCUCCUGGAAAGGCAGAAUUAAUAUUGUCAAUAGCAUAUUUGACAAUAGAUAUUUUGGAGAAUCCUGGACCACAGAUGUUUGUGAAAAGUUACAACUAUGAACAACUUAUGAAGAUAGUGUAUAGGUGUUUACAUGUAUAAUCACACUGCUCCAGUCCAGAAGAAAUUGGAUCCAGGCCUAUGGUGAUCCUUCAGGGUUCUGGUUAGACCUGAGCAGAGAUGAUGACCUCAGAAUUCUGGGCCCAUCCAAACCAGGAGCAACCAGACAUAAGCUACAGACUUACCUGUUAACCUCCCAAAACUUUUAAGAUUCCUUCAGUUUUCUAAGGAAAAUUCAAUUUGCUACAGAUUUGCAAGAUUGGACCAUAACUCAAGAGACUGAGAACAGUGUAGACAUCUUUUUACAUGAAACCCAGCAAGAUAUAGCCUCCACAAUCAGAGCUUUCAAAUAUUAGAAUCACCUGGGAGCAUGUUUUUAAAAACUGAGAUAAAAUGAAUAUGACAUAAAGUAACCAUCAACCAUUUUACAGAGUAUAAUUCAGUGGUAUUUCAUACAUUUAUAAUGCUGUGCAACCAUUACUUGUAUUUCCAAAACAUUUUAUCACUCAAAAGACAAUCCUUAUCCAUUAAAAAAUUGCACCUGGGGAGCAUUUUAAAAGUGCAUAUUCCAAGGCCCAGACCCAAGAGAUUGUAAUUCUGAGAGCAUGGAGAUGUUUUUCAAAACUUCCGGGUAUCUCAUUCUUAGAUAUUUACCCAAAUGGAAUGAAAACAUGCCCGAACAAGGAAUUACACAUGAAUGGCUAUAGUAACUUUAUUCAUAAUUACCCAAACCUUGGGUAACCCAAACUUCUCUCAAUUAGAUAAUAUAUAAGCAAACUGAUAACAUCCAUAUAAUGGAAUAGUACUUAGCAAUUAAAAGGAACCAACAUGGAACAAAAGUGAAAUCUCCAGUGUAUUAUACAAAGACAUAGAAAUCUAUUUUCCAUACCAUAUUCCAUUACAUGGCAUUCCGGAAAAUAUAAAACUAUAGCAAUGGAGAAUAAACAGGUGGUUUCCAGAAUUUAAGGGUAGCACCUAGGUUUUGAGUAUAAAAUGAUAGCACGAGGGAAGUUUCAGAGCAAUGAAGCAACUGUUCUACAUCUUGGCUAUAGUGUGGUAGCAAGGAUUUGUCAAAACUCCAACUUGAUAUCAAAAAGAGUGAAUUUUACUAGAUUUUAGAAUGUUAAGGUAAAUUCCAUGUGUUUCUGAAUGGGCAACCUCUCUGGGGAACACGUGCAUAAAUAAUGCUGGACAAACUAGUUAUUUUAUAACCCAGGCAAGUUACACUUUGGACACUUGGAAGCCAUCGAUUUGCCAUUACUAGUUCUCUGGUUGUCCUCAUAGCAUUUGGAUGUUUUUCACAGUCUAGAAGUACAAAAGCAGGCUGCCGAGCUAUAGCUUGGUGUGGCCUGGGCUGCACUGUGGUUUUGUUUUAGUGUUUGUCAAACGGAAACCACCACCAAACAUGGUAAAUUUAGAACUUUUUCUAAAAAUGAGUUAGACUGUCUCCUCAUCAGAUUAAUUUUAAUCAUAUUAACAUGGAAGUCAUUUUUUGAUGGGGAUAGAUGAAGACAAAAGAUAAAAUAUCGAGGUUAACAACUGAUUUUUAGGAUUAACUCCACAUCAGAAACCUAAACUCAGCAUUUAAAAAAAAAUUUGUUUUAGUUGUUGAUGGAUCUUUAUUUUAUUGAUUUAUAUGUAGUGCUGAGAAUUAAACCUAGUGCCUCACACAUACUAGGCAAGUGUUCUACCACUGAGCCACAACCCUAGCCCUAAAUUGAGUGGUUUGGAUAUGGUAAAUCUGAUGAUCCAAACCAAUUCCAGUAUAGGUCAGUUUUGUUAUUUUCAUAAAAUUAGAUGCCUUUUAUGCAUGUGUGUUGGAGAAAAGAAUAUUGGGAAUUAAACUGAGGGCGCUUUACCAUCACUGAGCUACACCCCCAGUCCUUUAUUUUUUUAUUUGAGACAAGGUCUCAUUAAGUUACCAGGUUGACCUUGAAGUUGAAAUCCUUUUGCCUCAGCCUCCAGAGUCCCUGGGAUUACAGGUGUGCACCACCACACCCAGCUAGGUAUCUUUUCUAUAGGAAAGAAAAUAAGAGGUUUACUUGGCCAGAGACCAAAAUGAGUCAAAAGCAUAUUUGACAAUACACGUUUUUGUAAAAUCCAGGACCCCUUUAUUUGUGAAAAUUUACAACUAUGGAAAACGUAUGAAAAUAGUGUGUACAUGUUUAUGUAAUUAGUCUCAACAAUUCUAAGUCUAACCCUGCAUAAAUCGACCUCACUUAAAAAAAAAAAAAAAGCCAUAUCCUGCUGUGGCUGAUCAUACCCUGAAAACUAAAUUUCAAAAUAACAUGGCUAAAACUCAAAUUGAAAUUCCCAGGUAUAAGAAGAAAAUAAACAAGAAAUAGGCACAACUUAAGAUAAAGAUAAUUUCAACUGUGGAACUCAGAAAAUGAGCAAACAAACAUGUCCCCAUGCAAGGAAGUAGGUCCUGCUGAGGUUUCUAUCCUGUUAAUCCAUAUUUUCUAAUUUUCAAUUCUCUUUGCUGGCCCUAGUCUCCAGUGAUUUCUGUUAAUACUAUAGCUUUGCUUCCUCAUCACUUUGCAAAAGAUAGCAAAAACUCCUUCUCUAAGACUUUCUGUUCACAUUGCUUCUUUUUUUAGAGCUGCUUGUGCCUGAGAGGAAACGGAGCUACGAGUGUUUCCUUUCCAUUCAAAACUGGCACUUUUUGUAGUGGGGGAGGUAGCUAAGGGUUUACAGUUUGUUCCCAACAGAUUGAGAUAGCACCAAGUUUUCCUAUAAGCCUCUCUGGAGGCCCUUGUGUUACAAAUUAUUUAUAAAUUUUAUCAAAACCUCCAGGAAGCAAGCUGGGCAAACUCUCCCAAUGCCAGAUGGCUCAGCAGACUUGAGAUAUUGCUGCUCUAUUGCAUGUCCCUGCUUCUGUUGCUCCAGACCCAAAAACACAUCCAAUGAGCGAGUGCAUGGAAAGCACUCACAGGUUCUCAUGCAAAGUUCCUCUCCACAGAGGAAUGUACAGGGGAAAAAAUAAUUGGACCUAUCUAAAGCUUAGAACAAUGAUAACAGACCUCCAAGUUUCCCACCAAAACACCUCCAGGUGGAAAGGAAUAUGUACAGCCCCAAGGACUAGACCAUAGCCAGAUAUUCUACUUAAUUAUAUGUAUCUGUGGUUUAAAAACAAAAAUGAUAUCGGGGUACUUGUGCAAACUUAAUAAUAGUAUACAAUGACUCUUUCAGAAAUGUUGCUAUAUUUAUUGUGUGAACCAGAAUUCUUUGGGUUGUAAGUGAUAGACCAUAUUUUGAACUAGCUUAGAGGGAGAAGGGCACUUGUCAGCUCCUAUAAACAGAAAAGACAAGAUGAUUCAAGGGAUGGAGAGUACUAGUACAUUUAUCCCCUCUGCCUCUGGUUUCUUCUUCCCACAAGGGGAAGGUUGAGGGGCCCAUAUUUCAGUUUCUCCCUAAAAAAGGAAAGAACUGCUGCAACACACACACACACACACACACAUCAAUCAUAUUUGAAGACUUAGACUGCACUUCCAAGUGAUGGAGUACAAAAGGACAAUUCCCACAAAAGAAGGGAAGAACACAGACAUGGCCUCUGGGGGAAAAAAAAUUGGCACUAAGAUCGGAUUAUUUUUAUCUUGGGGCUUCAUGUAUUUCCAAGCAUGAGGCCUUAGAAUUCCAAAAAUAUAUUUAUGUCAGUUUGAGAAGCACAGAUACAUGUGUCAUAUAGGCCUCAGAAGGCCUCGGGUUUGAUGCUGUGUGAAGAAUUUUCUAGUGAGGAGCUGUCUUGUUCUUUGGUAAAACAUUUAGAUGGACAGUGAGACCCUUAGGAGCCUGUGGGAGACAAGGCAGUGAGAAAGAAUUUGAAGCCUUCUGUUAGAAAAUAUUAACAGAAAUGUCAGCAUAGGAGAAGAGAUAAAAAGAAGGAAGAUAUAAAGUGGAGGAAAGAAGAGAAGUUGGCACGAGUCUGUGAAUUACAUUAAAAAUUCCUAGUAGCAAAGUAACCAAGAAAUUCCUAAAUACUAGGAGAUAUAAUGUUAAAUUUGAGGCUGUGUUGCUACAAAAUAAAUUCUGUAACAGUGAUAAAUUACAAAACCCAUUUUCUUUCCUUUCUGGGCUCAAAACUAGUCUACAUUUCCCAGCUUCCUUUGAAGUUAGAUAUAGUCAUAUGACUAAUUUUAGCCAAUGGGGUAUAGGCAGAAGUGAUAUGUGCUACCUCCAGACCUGGCCAAUAUAGCUUCCACAUUAUCCUCUACUCUGUUCCUUUUCCUAUAGAAUCAAGUGGGGGACUCCAUAUCCUAGAAAAUGCUGGAGCCACUGAGAGGAGUUCUUUGAAGAACUAGGCUCUUCAAGCCUCUUCUACUUCCCGUUGACUA